CAGCCUCUCUCUCCUCUCUCCAGCUGCGUCAGUCUUCUCCUGCGCAUCGUCGCCGAUUCCGGCCACCACUCACUGCCACACCGGUCUCAACAUGACCGUCUCAUUCUCUUCUAUCUAACCCGGUCCAUAGCACUCGACUCUAGCCCGAUUCAAAGCCAAACCGAGGGAGAGAAGCCUCGACUGUUUUCCGGCGAAUCCUCGAGAUUCCGGCCACGGCGUGACGAGUGGGAGGUAGGGUUAUCUUCCUCUCUUCCUGCUUCACCUUCUGGUACCUUUCUUUUCCCCAAAUCGUGCCCUAAUUGAAAACCCCUUUUUCUGUGUUUUCCGGGUUUCAAGCUCCUAGUUCCGGCGGCCGGCGCUCGGUGGUUUCUGGCGAGUUCUUCAGCUUUUUAGUAGGUCCUAUGAGCUUAGUGUGAAGUUGAGAUGGACAUUGGUGGCGUUGCUUAUCGAUCGGGACCGAGGCAGUGGUCUAGUGCGCUUGACCGGAGAUGAUCCGAGGUGAUUGGUGUUGUUGCAGUGAAGAAUGAGGCAGUGGUUGUGGAUGUUUGGGGGUCCUGCAUGUUGAGUCCGGACCAGGAGAGUUCUUGGGAUAACAUUUGAGAUCGAUGGAAGGUAAUCUUGAUCUCCUUUGAUGUUAUAUAGUUGUUGUGUGGAUAUUCAGACUGAUUGGAUGCAUUUUUGGUGUUGCUUAUCGAGAACUUGGUGUAUUGAAGAAUUUAGGGAGGUCAUGGUGAAAUUCCGGCAAGAGGCCGGAAUCCUACAGAAUAUUUCGGCAAGUCGCCGGAGUCUGGCAAGGGGUGGAGCUGGCAGAAAUGAUGGAGAUAGUGAUCGAUGUUUCCUUUUCGUUGUAUGUCGUUUCAGUAAUAGGAAAGUUUGUAGGUUGUAAUCGGAAAUCUUUCUAAGUGAGGAAAGUUUCUAUUUUAGGAAACUUUCCAUUUUUAGAAACUUUCUAUUUAUGAGAAACCCUUUUUGGGUGCCCUUAGUAAAUUGGUUGAUGUUUUAAAGGCUUGGAAAUUGUUUGUGACUUCGAUUAUCGGUUAAGGUUUGGUUUGGAACGGAAGGAGUUAUAGUUGCAAAGUUAAUCGAAAAUGAUUAUUAAUAUUUGUUGGUCAAACGUGGGGUCAAGCCUGGUCAAUUCUUGAUCAACCUAGGAAAUCCUAGUCAAACUGGGAAGAAGUCGAUUCAAUAAUGAUUGUGGAGUCCGGUCUGACCAAUUUAUUUUUCUGUUUAUUAUCAG
rnacentral:lncRNA from 1 species